GAUGAACGCUGGCGGCGUGCCUAAUACAUGCAAGUCGAGCGAACAGACGAGGAGCUUGCUCCUCUGACGUUAGCGGCGGACGGGUGAGUAACACGUGGAUAACCUACCUAUAAGACUGGGAUAACUUCGGGAAACCGGAGCUAAUACCGGAUAAUAUAUUGAACCGCAUGGUUCAAUAGUGAAAGACGGUUUUGCUGUCACUUAUACAUGGAUCCGCGCCGCAUUAGCUAGUUGGUAAGGUAACGGCUUACCAAGGCAACGAUGCGUAGCCGACCUGAGAGGGUGAUCGGCCACACUGGAACUGAGACACGGUCCAGACUCCUACGGGAGGCAGCAGUAGGGAAUCUUCCGCAAUGGGCGAAAGCCUGACGGAGCAACGCCGCGUGAGUGCUGAAGGUCUUCGGAUCGUAAAACUCUGUUAUUAGGGAAGAACAAAUGUGUAAGUAACUAUGCACGUCUUGACGGUACCUAAUCAGAAAGCCACGGCUAACUACGUG
rnacentral:rRNA from 1 species